GCGUUUUGCACAGCGCUUGGUAUAGAUGUUAGUCUAUCCUCUGGUAAUCAUCCUCAGACCAACGGGGAAUGUGAACGCACCAACCAACAGCUGGAGAUAGCGCUCCGUUGCAUGUCCCAGUCCCAUCCCGCUGCUUGGAGCACCCAUCUUGCCUGGGUUGAGUAUUCCCAUAAUUCACUGCCUAACACCUCCUUGGCCAUGUCCCCUUUUCAAUGCUCCUUAGACUACCAACCACCACUGUUCCCAUCGCAGGAGGAUGAGCUUGCAGUUCCUUCGGUGUAGGCCCACAUACGCCGGUGCUCCAAGGCCUGAAAGCAAGCCCGCACGCCCUUCUCCGGUCCUCUGCCAAAUUUCAGAAGCUCCCUGCCACUCUCCGUGUUCACCUCACCUUCCAUGUUUCCCAGAUAAAGCCGGUUUCUUCCAGUCCUCUCAACGGUCUAUGUCAAUCUGCCGUCUGCCCUUGCUCCCCGCAAACCAGCGCUCACCUCUUGUGGCCCACCGGCAACCCGGACUCAUACCCUGCCAGACUGGUCCUCCUUGGAACCCUGCUAAUCCCAGAUCUAGUUUUCG